rnacentral:lncRNA from 1 species
GCCACGCCGACCGCCGUCUUGGACUCGUCGACCGCCUCGUCGUCGUCAGGAACGUCCACUCUGUCGCCGUCAUCGCCGACAUCGCCCGCCCUGGCCCACCUGUCUUCACCCACCGUCCUGAGGAGGCCGAGGACGCCGACGACGCCGGAGUCGUCGUGGGAAUCCGAGUCGGACGACUCCUGCUGCGGAGACUCUGGCUGCUCCAGUCCACGCCCCCACGACGCGGGCCACCACGCGGGCCUGGGCCCCCACAGCGUGCCCGUCCAGACCAGAAUCACAGACUUCUGGAGGACGAGACGGUGUUCGACGAGCGAGUCCAUUGUCAAGACUGGCAACGCGUCGCCAGCCCCGGCCCGGCCACCGGCCCGGCCCUGCUCCGUGUCCGUCUAGCUGCGAAGCUAGCGAAGCUAGGCGACCUCAAAGGCCCAGGCCAGCAGGCCGCCUCGUGAAUUGACUUCCUAUGCCACAGCUAGUCAGGGAUCGUGCACCAACUCCUCUUGAGUUUCUGCAUCCCCCCCAUUCGUGGCAUGGGGACUCUAAUUUCAGACGUUUAGCUAUAGUUGUUGUCUAUGACAUAUCAGAGUUAUUCGGAGUUUGUGGGAGCUACGCGCUGUGUCGGACUUUGCCGCCUGUUUUUGGGACCCUGAUCGCCGGGCACGACUGCUUGUGAUAGUUCCUGAGGAAAGAUGACGAGGGCGAUUGGGAAAGCCAUUGUAAGAGCUUCGCUUGGAAGCGCGGGAAGUAGCCUAUUGUCGCUGAUUUUUUGGACUUAUUUCCGAUACGUCGCCAGAGCGGACCGACCUGUCAUUCUUUCCUUGUACUUUAUUUUGUUUGUAUGUAGAUUUCUUCUGAAGUAGCUCAGAGCUUGGUACCAAAAAAGGCGAUGCAGUCUUUUGAAAGAAAUGCUCCGGGAAUACAGGGAACCUUUGGUAGUCCACGGGAAACGAAACAGUCAGAAAGCACGAGGCACUCUGUUUCCGUUCCGUGGAUCAAUUUCAUUUGGUUCAUGUCUUCUUGGAGUGCAUUUCACCUUUUCUAGUCGAAUGUGGCAAUCUCUACGCUUUCAACGAAUCAUUCGUUUUUUGAAAUUUAGUUUUUAUGAUAUUAGCAAAUGAUGAACUUUUGUUAGCUCUGAUUAAAGAGCAAUGGGAACGAUGCAUCCUAUUUGUAGACCAGUUUCUGCGGAUUUCGCUAGCUUUCGCAGACGUGUCCUGUUUGCAAUUUUGUGCCACAGGACUCGUGUGCAAGACCUCGAUAAACAUCCUUUUUACUUUGUCCCUGUUUACGCUUCUAUUUCUUAGUUUGUGUUGAUUACUGGUUUACCAAUGCGAUCGCACGUAGUCAUGAACUGUCACUGACACAGUUACUGGCUUCUUUCUAAGAUAAUUAUCAAAAUGUAGUAGUAAUAAUUUGCUCACCGCAAACACAACAUCAUUGUCAGCAAUAUUAUUGUGUGUAAAUUUCUCAUUCUGUCUUAUUUUUUUGUAUUAUGUUGGACUGACUGAAUAUGUUAUAGAUGAUUCCCAACGAAAGUAUAAAAUACAUUUAAUAAAUCAAUUAUCAAAUUUAA